rnacentral:rRNA from 1 species
UGGGGAAUUUUGGACAAUGGGCGAAAGCCUGAUCCAGCCAUGCCGCGUGAGUGAAGAAGGCCUUCGGGUUGUAAAGCUCUUUUAGUCGGAAAGAAAGAGUCGCAAUGAAUAAUUGUGAUUUAUGACGGUACCGACAGAAAAAGCACCGGCUAACUACGUGCCAGCAGCCGCGGUAAUACGUAGGGUGCGAGCGUUAAUCGGAAUUACUGGGCGUAAAGGGUGCGCAGGCGGUUUUGCAAGUCAGAUGUGAAAGCCCCGGGGCUUAACCUGGGAAUUGCGUUUGAAACUACAAGGCUAGAGUGCAGCAGAGGGGAGUGGAAUUCCAUGUGUAGCAGUGAAAUGCGUAGAGAUGUGGAAGAACACCGAUGGCGAAGGCAGCUCCCUGGGUUGACACUGACGCUC